rnacentral:rRNA from 1 species
GGAUGAACGCUAGCGACAGGCCUAACACAUGCAAGUCGAGGGGUAGCAGGAUGUAGCAAUACAUUGCUGACGACCGGCGCACGGGUGAGUAACACGUAUGCAACCUACCUUCUACAGGGGAAUAGCCCGGAGAAAUUCGGAUUAAUACCCCAUAACACAGGGAUACCGCAUGGUAAUAUUUGUUAAAGAUUUAUCGGUAGAAGAUGGGCAUGCGUUCCAUUAGCCAGUUGGUGAGGUAACGGCUCACCAAAGCAACGAUGGAUAGGGGAACUGAGAGGUUUAUCCCCCACACUGGUACUGAGACACGGACCAGACUCCUACGGGAGGCAGCAGUGAGGAAUAUUGGUCAAUGGACGAGAGUCUGAACCAGCCAAGUCGCGUGAAGGAUGACGGCCCUACGGGUUGUAAACUUCUUUUGUAUGGGAGUAAAAAAGACUACGCGUAGUCUAUUGCAAGUACCAUACGAAUAAGCAUCGGCUAACUCC